UACGAAGGGGGCUAGCGUUGUUCGGAAUCACUGGGCGUAAAGCGCACGUAGGCGGGUCGUUAAGUCAGGGGUGAAAUCCCGAGGCUCAACCUCGGAACUGCCUUCGAUACUGGCGACCUUUGAGUCCGGGAGAGGUGAGUGGAACUCCGAGUGUAGAGGUGAAAUUCGUAGAUAUUCGCAAGAACACCAGUGGCGAAGGCGGCUCACUGGCCCGGUACUGACGCUGAGGUGCGAAAGCGUGGGGAGCAAACAGG
rnacentral:rRNA from 1 species